rnacentral:tRNA from 2 species
GGGUUCGUGGUGUAGCUGGUUAACACGUCUCCCUGUCACGGAGAAGACCGAGGGUUCGAGUCCCUUCGGACCCGCCA